rnacentral:tmRNA from 1 species
GGGGUCGACUGGUUUUGACAGCGAGUUGUAUUAAAUUGUAAGCACGUCGCGUAACGACAUUGAAACGCGUAAAAGGCUAUGUUAAAUUUUAAACGGCGAGAAUAACUACGCUUUAGCUGCAUAAUCUGAAUUAUAGUAAGAUUAGCCUUGUCCUACUAGGUAGGAAAGCUAAAUGUCUCUUGAAAGCCUUGGUUAACGGCGUUCUACUUUGAGGCAUCGUAAAAGUAAACCUAGAAAAUGUAAUGCUUUGGUACAUUUUUGAAACUAAAAAAGCUAAGUAAUACGUAGAGUGUUUUUAAUCAGCGUAUUAUCUAAAACCAUGAAAAAACUAAGCGUGUAGAAAGCACUUUGGUAGCUUGUUUGGACCCGAGUUCGAUUCUCGGCGACUCCACCU